GUAACACGUGGAUAACCUGCCCUUGGGACCUGCAUAACCCCGGGAAACUGGGGAUAAUUCGGGAUAACGCAUAUGUGCUGGAAUGCUUUAUGCGUAAAAAGGAUUCGUCCGCCCAAGGAUGGGUCUGCGGCCUAUCAGGUAGUAGUGGGUGUAAUGUACCUACUAGCCGACAACGGGUACGGGUUGUGAGAGCAAGAGCCCGGAGAUGGAUUCUGAGACAUGAAUCCAGGCCCUACGGGGCGCAGCAGGCGCGAAAACUUUACAAUGCGGGAAACCGUGAUAAGGGGACACCGAGUGUCAGCAUCAUAUGCUGGCUGUCCAGGUGUGUAAAAUACACCUGUUAGCAAGGGCCGGGCAAGACCGGUGCCAGCCGCCGCGGUAACACCGGCGGCCCGAGUGGUGAUCGUGAUUAUUGGGUCUAAAGGGUCCGUAGCCGGUUUGGUCAGUCCUCCGGGAAAUCUGAUAGCUCAACUAUUAGGCUAUCGGGGGAUACUACCAGACUUGGAACCGGGAGAGGUAAGAGGUACUACAGGGGUAGGAGUGAAAUCUU
rnacentral:rRNA from 1 species